GAUGAACGCUAGCGGCAGGCCUAAUACAUGCAAGUCGAACGGGAUCUGAGGGUAGCUUGCUACCCGAUUUGAGAGUGGCGCACGGGUGCGUAACGCGUGAGCAACCUACCCAUAUCAGGGGGAUAGCCCGAAGAAAUUCGGAUUAACACCGCAUAAUAAUACGCUAACACAUGUUGAUGUAUUAAAUAUUUAUAGGAUAUGGAUGGGCUCGCGUGACAUUAGCUAGUUGGUAAGGUAACGGCUUACCAAGGCGACGAUGUCUAGGGGCUCUGAGAGGAGAAUCCCCCACACUGGUACUGAGACACGGACCAGACUCCUACGGGAGGCAGCAGUAAGGAAUAUUGGUCAAUGGGCGCAAGCCUGAACCAGCCAUGCCGCGUGCAGGAUGACUGCCCUAUGGGUUGUAGACUGCUUUUGUUAGGGAAUAAACCUUCUUACGUGUAAGGAGCUGAAUGUACCUAAAGAAUAAGGAUCGGCUAACUCCGUGCCAGCAGCCGCAGUAA
rnacentral:rRNA from 1 species